rnacentral:rRNA from 1 species
GAUGAACGCUGGCGGCGUGCCUAAUACAUGCAAGUCGAGCGAACGGACGAGAAGCUUGCUUCUCUGAUGUUAGCGGCGGACGGGUGAGUAACACGUGGAUAACCUACCUAUAAGACUGGGAUAACUUCGGGAAACCGGAGCUAAUACCGGAUGAUAUUUUGAACCGCAUGGUUCAAAAGUGAAAGACGGUCUUGCUGUCACUUAUAGAUGGAUCCGCGCUGCAUUAGCUAGUUGGUAAGGUAACGGCUUACCAAGGCAACGAUGCAUAGCCGACCUGAGAGGGAAAUUGGCCACACGAGAACUGAGACACGGUCCCGACCGCUACGGGGGGCAGCCGUAGGGAAUCUUCCGCAAUGGGCGAAAGCCUGACGGAGCAACGCCGCGUGAGUGAUGAAGGUCUUCGGAUCGUAAAACUAUGUUAUUAGGGAAGAACAUAUGUGUAAGUAACUGUGCACAUCUUGACGGUACCUGAUCAGAAAGCCACGGCUAACUACGUG